UGCGGGAUGGUGCAAUGGUAGCACGCCUGACUCUGGAUCAGGUAGUCUAGGUUUCGAGUCCUAGUCCCGCAGCCA
rnacentral:tRNA from 1 species